CGGUAUAGCUCAGUCGGUAGAGCAGCUGAUUUGUAAUCAGCAGGUCGGGGGUUCGAGUCCGUUCACC
rnacentral:tRNA from 1 species